UCUUCUCCCUCAUAUUGAUCUCUGCUCAAAUUCUAUGACAUUCUAUGACAAACUUAAAAACAGAUGUAUAAAGCAUGAAAAGCAUACGUCAAAACAGAGAGCUCUGUAACUCAGAAACAGAGCAUUGUUGUAAAUCAUUAUGGCUAUAUCAUGUAAAUAGAUAUAGGGUAAAUCAUUAUGUUGUUAUAGGCUUACCCUUUCCAUGUUUUAUGGAUGACUUUAGGAAUCCUUGUUUUAUGGAGGACUUUAGGGGUCCUUGUUUUAUGGAGGACUUUAGGCUACAUGUUCCCUAUCUUCCACUAUAUGUAGUCCAUUUCUCAUCCAUGUUAUGAGGAGAAAAACAGAAAAUACUACACUUAUUAUCUGCAUCUAAACUCUCUCUCUCUCAAGUUCUUAGAAGCAAAGCUCUCUCCAUUUUCUGAAACACUUUCUAUGUUAGUUUUACAACACGUUAUCAGCACGACUAGCUCUAGGAUUCGGAUUGCCGAUCGACAAGAGAAGAGGUGAAUAACUCUUGGGUUGCAGAAAAGAAGAGGUUCAUCAUUCAAUCAACAUCAAUCUACCAGCUCUACAACCAAGCAAGAUACAAUGAGGCUGUGUACUUAAGAGAGCCUCGCUCCACCCAAACCUCAUACUCUUACCUGGUCGUAUUUAAUUGGAGUUACCAAAAGGGUUGAGUAAUAACUUUUCAUUCCUUGGCAGACCAGCUUGAGCCCAGCAGGCCCACUCUCCCUCUGCGGGACCUAGCAGCCCAGCAGGCCUCACACACCAUUUAAAUUACGCAUGAAAGGCCGGGUCACAAGCCCGCAGACUAAGCCCGAUAGGCUUCACUAUCAAGCCCAUUCCUUUGGUCCAGCAGAAUCAAAUAAAAGGAAAAAUGAUUUGAUUCUACUGAGAUUUGAACCCAGACAAUGUACAUGUCAUUAUGGCUAUUGCAAAUAAAUUCACCAUAUUUCAUAUGUGUAAUUAAUUGCCAGAAGCAUUUAUUCACAUAAUUGUGUGACAAUUAAUAUGUUAUAUUACUAGCAUGCAAUUAAUAUCUCAAUUGAUUUGUGAUUUCCAUUUA